rnacentral:lncRNA from 1 species
AAAGCAUUGUUCAAAAGAUAUCUUUCUACGAAAAAUAAGUGCAAAAAGAAAGACAAAAAUAAUCGAAUACGCACGAUAUAUGGGCUCUGGGGAGUCUUCCAUGAGAUGGCAAGCCAUUUCUGUCACAAUUUCGUCAAAUUUAAGGGUUAUUGGGGACUCCAUUAUCGAAUAGAGAUGAAGAAACUUUUUCGUUCUCCAUUUGGAAGUAUACACAGACGCGAAGCCAGCACCCGGCGAGGAGACGCGACCGUGUUUGCUGGCUCCGUCGAAGUCUUGAGAACUGCCGAGUAGCAAAUAGUGGAGUUGCAGAGCCAGCCGGAGAGGAGACGAAGAUGACAGAAUGAAGACGACAAUCCCUUUUCUUUCUUUUUUUUCUUUUUUCUUUUUUUGUUUGGGUCGAAUUGCUGGGCUGAAUUGAUUCAGGUAAUUUUUUGCCCAAUUUUGAUUAGCCCUAAUGCCCAAUUCCAUUAAUAAUUGGAAUUGGUCCAACCAAAGCCCCAAACCACAAAGAUGUUUGCUGAUUGCUGAAGCCUAAAAGUCUGAAACGCAAAGGGCAGGGGCGAAAUGCGAAAAUGAGAAAUUUCCAAAUUCAAUCCCCGAAUCGUGAAAGAGAAAGCCAAGCCCUUUUCUACUUUUCCUCUGUUCGCCACUCUCCAAUCCACACAGUGCACUCCUUUCCAUUCUAUAAUUCCAAUGUCAAUUCGAAUUUGAAUUCGAAAUCGAAGAAGAGGCAAACAACAAUAAUUUAUGUUAAUCAUCAAAUUUAAAUUUUGCAAUAAUCAACACGAAAUUGUUUUAGGGUUAAUAUGAAGGUAUUCCAUAUUUUCAUAUGUGAUCUGUUUGAAAAAUUGGAAUUAUUUUUUGUGCAAUUUACUAGAAAUAGAAAUAGAAUUUUUAUUUUUAUUUUUUUGCAAUUGAAAUUGUUUUAGGGUUAAUAAUUAAUAUGAAGGUAUUCCAUAUUUCCAUGUUUUGUGCAAUUUCCAUGUUUUGCAACUUCUGCUGUCUCCUGCUGACUGUCGAGCCCAGUCGGAGUGCUGUGAGUCUCUCUCUCUCUCUCUCUCUCUCUCUCUCUCUCUCUCUCUGGGGUUUUGUUUUUGUUUAACUUUGUUGGGUACUAGACUUGUUGAUAUUGAGUAAUGAAUGUUCAAUUGUUAAUUAUGUUAUGAUUAUUGUUUCGGGAAUUUAUGUUUAUGAAAUUAGGCUUGUGAAUUGUAAUAUAUGAUAAGUAAUUUAUGUUUUAUAAGUUAUGAUUAUUGAUAAG